rnacentral:lncRNA from 13 species
CCUGCCUCCCAUUCUCUCUGCUGGGGAUUCCACAAACAGACUUCUGGUUCCUUCUCCCGGGCUCUCUUGGGCCCAGGGCUGCCCAAUAGGCUCAUGCCCCACCCCCCUAGUCUUUCUCUACUAGACUCCAUCCAGGACCCCAGGGAGCCGGAUCCAGGUCACCUGGGGCUCAUUGAGCUCCCGUUCAGGACACGAGAUGUGGGACAGAGAGAGAAGGCCAGGAAAAAAAGGCAGCUCCCUUCCUUGAAGAAACCUGUGAUGUAUUUUGAACUAAUCCCAUAAACAAAUGCAGGAUUCAGCAUCUCCAACAAGACUCUAGUCACCUCCUGACCUCGCUUAUGUAGCUAUGUCAAGCUGCUGUUCAACACAGAGAACUCAACUUUCAUGUGAUGAAUUCCUGAGGCCCAGGGGAAAUGUUCCUGAGCAACAGAGCGAGACUUCAUCUUAAAAAGAAAAUCAAGAAAAUAUGGAAACAACAUUCAAAGGGAGGCAAGACUCUUCUAGUGGUCACUCGGGGGAGCCAUGAAGACAGAGGAAGACUGGGGUCCUUUCACUGCUGCCUGGGACUCUCCGAACCCACUCUGUUCCUGGGCUUUGGCCACACUGUCUCAGCUUUGGACCCUUCCAGACAUGCUUUUUGCCUCUUCUGCCUCCUACCGUUGCUCACACAGUUCCCUUCUCCUGUGAUGCCUUUCUGUCCCAUGUCUGCUCAUUAAAAUAUACACAUCUUCCCUUUAAGUCCAAGUUCAAACAUUACUUCUUCUUGAAGCAGCCCCUGAUUGAUAACCAGCAAUGAUGUGCCCUUUAGGGAACGCCUUGUUUCUGCUUCCCUGGCGUCGGCUCCCUUCCCCUCUUUGGCCUUGUAUUGUGGUUGCUGCUCUCCUCCUCUCCUCCUAGACAGGAGGACUUAACCUGGGGCAGGAUGGUGCUUGAUCCUUGUCUCUGUCGUCUAAGGCCCUGUAAGGGUCAAGCGCCGUGUCUGACCCCAGCGCCUGCAUGUUCAUUGUCAACACUUACCUCUGUUAUGGCACUUCUCACGCUGCGUAUCUGCUUACACGUCUUUCUAUUUUUUCCUUUUUCA